AAGGUUAAGAGGAGAGCUUAGCGCAAGCGAAGGUUUGAAUUGAAGCCCCAGUAAACGGCGGCCGUAACUAUAACGGUCCUAAGGUAGCGAAAUUCCUUGUCGGGUAAGUUCCGACCUGCACGAAAGGUGUAAUGAUUUGGGCACUGUCUCAACGAGAGACUCGGUGAAAUUAUAAUACCCGUGAAGAUGCGGGUUACCCGCGACAGGACGGAAAGACCCCAUGGAGCUUUACUGCAGUUUAAUAUUGGGUAUCUGUCAAGCAUGUACAGGAUAGGUAGGAGCCGGAGAAGAUAGGACGCCAGUCUUAUCUGAGGCGCUGUUGGGAUACUACCCUUGCUUGACGGAUGCUCUAACUCAGGCCUGUGAUCCAGGCCGAGGACAGUGUUUGACGGGCAGUUUGACUGGGGCGGUCGCCUCCUAAAGUGUAACGGAGGCGCCCAAAGGUUCCCUCAGAAUGGUUGGAAAUCAUUCGCAGAGUGUAAAGGUAAAAGGGAGCUUGACUGCGAGAGAGACA
rnacentral:rRNA from 1 species